rnacentral:lncRNA from 1 species
CUUUAUAGAAAUCCAUACUAACAAAUCCAAGUGCUAAAAAUAGUCUUAAAAAUCCAAAACUACGUCGGAAGUGGUAGAACACAAAACCAGAUGCCAAAACACUCAGCGAGUUGUAUUUUAGACACAUUAGAUAUUUGGAGAAUUGAUUAUUAUGUAGUUUUUUGUUUUGUUUUGUUUUAGAAACAAAUCCACGUCGACAGUGUAUGCAGAGAUGAGGGCAGCGCAGGCACAAGCUGGUGAGACCAGGUCACACACCUGUCCUGGCCGAGUUUUAUCAAGCUGUUAAAGAGUAUCAGCCAAUGACCACCAUCGGACAAGAUACACUUACAAUUCCUUUGAAUUUCAUGGGAACUAUUGGAUCCUCACACGGGAGUCAGUCCCUUUGUUUUGACUCCUAUUGAGAAGGAAGUCAUUAUUCCUCAAAGUGAGUAUCUGAUGUGCAUGUGGGAAAUAUUUACUUUUUGGUUGAUUACUUGCUCUUAUAGCUUAUAGUUUUUCCAGCUUUAUUGAGGUAUAACUAGCAAAUAAAAAUUGUAUAUAUUUGAAGUAUACA